CCGGGCGUCGCUGGUGAGUGUCUCAAGGGAUGUUCGCGAUAGCCGAAGUCGCUUUUUGCUUUUGACCACGGAUGUACUGGCACUGGUAUGAGGAGCGACGUGAGAAGGUCGGUGCGAAUUCGCCCCGGCCUUUUUUGUU
rnacentral:sRNA from 1 species